AUUGUGAAUAACAUGGGUUUAUGAGAUUUACAAAUCACUGCAUUCUUUUUAUUUACAUUUUACAGGGUGUCCCAACAUUUUUGGAAUUGGGGUUGUAAAACAUCAGAGCGCUUCAUGAGUGAGGUGUAACUUUGUGAUUUUUGUAAUCUAAGUAGGGUUUUGUUUGUUUGUUUGUUUGUUUGUUUGUUUGUUUGUUUUAACAGUUUCCAGUUUUUAAAAUCUGUCUUUUUGUGAGUGUGGAAGUGGCAGUGCUGGUUUGAUUAGCAGGUAUACUGAGCAGGGGGUUAGGGAUUUACUCCCCUUUCCAAAACCUUGGUUACACUGCAGAAUUAGCUGCUGAAAGAAUGCACACGGAUGGAACGGCUGUGCGUCCUGGGGGCCGGAGCUUAAGCACAGGCCGAGUGGCAGGAUUACGGAGGAAAUGAGAGGACAGAGCAGGGGACCUAAAGUCAGGUUCUGGCCCCACUGGAUUCCCAGCACUCCAGAUCUGUAACAGGAGGUCUGACUGAGAAAGAAUGGCAGGGAGCUGUGAAAGGAAAACGUGGCUCAGAAAGGUCUUGUCGGCACUUCCUCCAGCAAAUUAGCAGCUCUCUGAGGGUACAAGUACAACUUCAUUGACCUGGCCAAUUCUGGAAAAUGUCCCACGCUGUCCUCCCCCAUGGCAGCCCUUCACUGUUCUUCUGACAACAAACCCCAGUUACUUCACCAAUUAAGGAGAGAAAUCGCCAUGAAAGCCUGGUGCUGUGAGGUUAUGCACGGCAGUAACAGAGGAAUUUCUUCAUGCAGGAAUCUGUUCUCAGGAUAGACCUUUGGCCUGGAGAUGAGGAAGGCAGCAUUCACUUCAGAAGUGUGAAAUUUGUGCAUCUCUGGAGUACAGAGGGUGCAAUGGACUGUGAAUAGCAAGACAAGACAGCUCCCUGGAGCGAGAGGCUGGAGUGAGGGCCUUACAGCUGUUUUCUGGAGAUAAUUGAUUUUGGAAUAGACCAGAGAUGAGAGCGGACAGGCGGGGCUGAUGGCGCACUGCAGCGGGGUCCAAGCCAAUUUCCGCAGGCCUUGUCCCUUUAAUUACUGUGGUGCUAGAGCAUGGGAUGCGCCCACUCUCCCAUCCAGGUAAAUUAAAGCCCUUUGCUCAACCAACCCUGCUGCAUCCCCCAUCACCCAGUGGCCUGAUGAAUUUUUCAUGGAUUGGCCUCUCUCCUUCGCUGGCCUGCCGCUGUGGCUGGAGGCAGUGCUUCUGGUGCCUUUUCCCGUGCCCUCUUAGAGAUUCCCAGCUGACAGCUUAUGAGAAAAGGUUGCAUAUGCAUAGCUAGAUUGUGCUGUUGAUUAGUUUUCUUGAUCUGUUUGGAUUCUCACGACCUAAAGGAGCCAUAAUGGCCUACAGAUCUGUCAUAGACAUGAGAGCAGCUGCAUGCCCAGGUGUACCCAUCAUGCCUCCCCUUGACUCAGUGCACAAUAGGAGCAGAACAGUGCAUCUUAUGGAAAGUGACACAUGGUGUUGUGUUCUGCAGGGUUAAUCCCCCCAUGGGGGAAGAUGACAGGAUCUCUGUGGCCCUGAAUAUGUAUCAAACUGCCACAAGUCACAUUCCAACCCAGCUUCAAUCAGAAGCUUUUAUCAGGAGUCCUGCCUGCAGAGCUGUUAGGCCCUCCAUUAUAAUAUUAUAAUAGUCUAUUAAUG
ensembl:lncRNA